AAAAAAAAAAAAAGUGUUGGUAAAAGUAUCCAAUUUACUGAAAAAAUUUCUCACCCGUAAUCCUUUUCAGAAAGAUUUAACUAAUUCCCCACAGAUAAUAAAUCCUCCACACUACAAAAAUUGGUUUGUUUUUAACUCAGCAUAUUCUCAGAAAAGUGGCCGGUGGUGGAGCAGAGUGCAACACAGCUCAAAGCGCUGGACUCACAGGAGCUUCGCUGCAGACUUGCAGUGAUAGUGACUGCUGCUUCCCUUGGGUUCCUCUGGUGUUGCUGUCAUUGAUAAUUUAGUAGUUUCAACUGCAGUUCCUUCCAUUACACUUACAGAUUCUUCUACGGACCCCCAGAAUUCCUCAGUCACAGCUCUCUAUAUAAAUGGCUUUGAAAGCCACUGACUACACUGUUGGUGUCUACUCAGUGCCAAGAGAAAUGGACUCUGGGAGAAAAUCCCUCCAAGUGGAGAAACCCUGUAACCCCUUUGAGCUAAUUCCGGGGAGUGACUCUAGCCAGGAAAAGUCACAACUAAAGCGGAAAACAGAUCGUAGCCUUCACCAUCGGCAAGAUGGUG
rnacentral:lncRNA from 1 species